rnacentral:rRNA from 1 species
GGAGUGUGUAACAACUCACCUGCCGAAUGAACUAGCGCUGAAAAUGGAUGGCGCUCAAGCGGACCACCGAUCCCCGACCAACGGCGUGAGUGCUUUGCGCCGUUGAGUAGGAGGGCGUGGGGCUCGUGAAGCAGCCGCGGGAGUGAUCCCCGGUGAAACGGGCUCUAGUGCAGAUCUUGGUGGGAGUAGCAAAUAUUCAAAUGAGAACUUUGAAGACUGAAGUGGACAAGGGUUCCAUGUGAACAGCAGUUGGACAUGGGUGAG